GCAGUGUACCCGCGGCAAGACGGAAAGACCCCGUGAACCUUUACUAUAGCUUGACACUGAACAUUGAGCCUUGAUGUGUAGGAUAGGUGGGAGGCUUUGAAGUGUGGACGCCAGUCUGCAUGGAGCCGACCUUGAAAUACCACCCUUUAAUGUUUGAUGUUCUAACGUGGACCCGUGAUCCGGGUUGCGGACAGUGUCUGGUGGGUAGUUUGACUGGGGCGGUCUCCUCCUAAAGAGUAACGGAGGAGCACGAAGGUUGGCUAAUCCUGGUCGGACAUCAGGAGGUUAGUGCAAUGGCAUAAGCCAGCUUGACUGCGAGCGUGACGGCGCGAGCAGGUGCGAAAGCAGGUCAUAGUGAUCCGGUGGUUCUGAAUGGAAGGGCCAUCGCUCAACGGAUAAAAGGUACUCCGGGGAUAACAGGCUGAUACCGCCCAAGAGUUCAUAUCGACGGCGGUGUUUGGCACCUCGAUGUCGGCUCAUCACAUCCUGGGGCUGAAGUAGGUCCCAAGGGUAUGGCUGUUCGCCAUUUAAAGUGGUACGCGAGCUGGGUUUAGAACGUCGUGAGACAGUUCGGUCCCUAUCUGCCGUGGGCGCUGGAGAACUGAGGGGGGCUGCUCCUAGUACGAGAGGACCGGAGUGGACGCAUCACUGGUGUUCGGGUUGUCAUGCCAAUGGCACUGCCCGGUAGCUAAAUGCGGAAGAGAUAAGUGCUGAAAGCAUCUAAGCACGAAACUUGCCCCGAG
rnacentral:rRNA from 1 species